GCCUAUAGUCAUACCACCCCGAAUGCUCCCAAUCUCAUCUGAUCUCAGAAGCUAAGCAGGUUAGGCCUGGUUAGUACUUAGAUG
rnacentral:rRNA from 1 species